rnacentral:rRNA from 1 species
GAUGAACGCUGGCGGCGUGCCUAACACAUGCAAGUCGAGCGAUUCUCUUCGGAGAAGAGCGGCGGACGGGUGAGUAACGCGUGGGUAACCUGCCCUGUACACACGGAUAACAUACCGAAAGGUAUGCUAAUACGAGAUAAUAUGCUUUUAUCGCAUGGUAGAAGUAUCAAAGCUUUUGCGGUACAGGAUGGACCCGCGUCUGAUUAGCUAGUUGGUAAGGUAACGGCUUACCAAGGCGACGAUCAGUAGCCGACCUGAGAGGGUGAUCGGCCACAUUGGAACUGAGACACGGUCCAAACUCCUACGGGAGGCAGCAGUGGGGAAUAUUGCACAAUGGGCGAAAGCUUGAUGCAGCAACGCCGCGUGAGCGAUGAAGGCCUUCGGGUCGUAAAGCUCUGUCCUCAAGGAAGAUAAUGACGGUACUUGAGGAGGAAGCCCCGGCUAACUACGUGCCAGCCGCCGCCGUAAGAC